rnacentral:rRNA from 1 species
GACUAACGCUGGCGGCGUGCCUAACACAUGCAAGUCGAACGGGCUGUAGCAAUACAGUCAGUGGCAGACGGGUGAGUAACGCGUAGAUAACGUACCCCUGCGCUGGGGAUAGCCACUGGAAACGGUGGGUAAUACCGAAUAUUCUCGUCGGGAGGCAUCUUUUGACGAGGAAACUGGUAACGGGCGGAGGGAUCGGUUUGCGUCCUAUCAGCUAGUUGGUGAGGUAAUGGCUCACCAAGGCGACGACGGGUAGCCGGUCUGAGAGGAUGA